GACGAACGCUGGCGGCGUGCUUAACACAUGCAAGUCGAACGGAAAGGCCCUGCCUUUGUGGGGUGCUCGAGUGGCGAACGGGUGAGUAACACGUGAGUAACCUGCCCUUGACUUUGGGAUAACUUCAGGAAACUGGGGCUAAUACCGGAUAGGAGCUCCUGCUGCAUGGUGGGGGUUGGAAAGUUUCGGCGGUUGGGGAUGGACUCGCGGCCUAUGAGCUUGUUGGUGUGGUAGUGGCUUACCAAGGCUUUGAAGGGUAGCCUGCCUGAUAGGGUGACCGGCCACAUUGCGACUGAGAUGCGGCCCGGACUCCUACGGGAGGCAGCAGUGGGGAAUAUUGUACAAUGGGCGGAAGCCUGAUGCAACAACGCCGCGUGCGGGAUGACGGCCUUCGGUUUGUAAUCCGCUUUCGCCUGUCCCGAAGCGUUAGUGACGGUAAUGGGUAAAUAAGCACCGGCUAACUACGUG
rnacentral:rRNA from 1 species